AGAACGAACGCUGGCGGCAGGCUUAACACAUGCAAGUCGAACGCCCCGCAAGGGGAGUGGCAGACGGGUGAGUAACGCGUGGGAAUCUACCCAGUUCUUCGGAAUAACACAGGGAAACUUGUGCUAAUACCGAAUACGCCUACGGGGGAAAGAUUUAUCGGGAUUGGAUGAGCCCGCGUUGGAUUAGCUAGUUGGUGGGGUAAUGGCCUACCAAGGCGACGAUCCAUAGCUGGUCUGAGAGGAUGAUCAGCCACACUGGGACUGAGACACGGCCCAGACUCCUACGGGAGGCAGCAGUGGGGAAUAUUGGACAAUGGGCGAAAGCCUGAUCCAGCCAUGCCGCGUGAGUGAUGAAGGCCUUAGGGUUGUAAAGCUCUUUUGUGCGGAAGAUAAUGACGGUACCGCAAGAAUAACGCCCGGCUAACUUCGCGCCAGCAGCCCG
rnacentral:rRNA from 1 species